UCUUGUUGAUAUUAUCAGGCAUGUUGCAAGGUUGUUCCAACAAGUCCGAUACAUUCAUGAUAUAACAAAUUAACAAUGUUGUUACAACUUUGUGUCGUCAACCUUGUAACAUUCUUGUUAUAUCAUGACUGUAUCAGACUUGUUAGAACACUGACCUUGUAACAAGUCUGAUAAUGCCAUCAAGC
rnacentral:miRNA from 1 species